GCAUAUCAAUAAGCGGAGGAAAAGAAACCAACAGGGAUUGCCCUAGUAACGGCGAGUGAAGCGGCAACAGCUCAAAUUUGAAAUCUGGCUCUUUUAGGGUCCGAGUUGUAAUUUGCAGAGGGCGCUUUGGCUUUGGCAGCGGUCCAAGUUCUUUGGAACAGGACGUCACAGAGGGUGAGAAUCCCGUACGUGGUCGCUAUCCUUUGCCGUGUAAAGCCCCUUCGACGAGUCGAGUUGUUUGGGAAUGCAGCUCUAAAUGGGAGGUAAAUUUCUUCUAAAGCUAAAUACUGGCCAGAGACCGAUAGCGCACAAGUAGAGUGAUCGAAAGAUGAAAAGCACUUUGGAAAGAGAGUCAAAUAGCACGUGAAAUUGUUGAAAGGGAAGCGCUUGCAGCCAGACUUGUUUGCAGUUGCUUAUCCGGGCUUUUGCCCGGUGCACUCUUCUGUAGGCAGGCCAGCAUCAGUUUGGGCAGUUGGAUAAAGGUCUCUGUCAUGUACCUCUCUUCGGGGAGGCCUUAUAGGGGAGACGACAUGCAACUAGCCUGGACUGAGGUCCGCGCAUCUGCUAGGAUGCUGGCGUAAUGGCUGUAAGCGGCCCGUCUUGAAACACGGACCAAGGAGUCUAACAUCUAUGCGAGUGUUUGGGUGUCAAGCCCAGACGCGUAAUGAAAGUGAACGGAGGUGGGAACCCUUUGGGUGCACCAUCGACCGAUCCUGAUGUCUUCGGAAGGAUUUGAGUAAGAGCAUGGCUGUUGGGACCCGAAAGAUGGUGAACUAUGCUUGAAUAGGGUGAAGCCAGAGGAAACUCUGGUGGAGGCUCGCAGCGGUUCUGACGUGCAAAUCGAUCGUCAAAUUUGGGCAUAGGGGCGAAAGACUAAUCGAACUAUCUUGUAGCUGGUUCUGCAA
rnacentral:rRNA from 1 species